rnacentral:lncRNA from 1 species
UCGAUAGCCUAGAAUGAAAACCUCGUAUCUAAAAAAAAUCCGAAAUCACUUUUUUAUGCUAUUAGAUGGAUAAGCUCGUAUCUUGCAAUAUAGUAGGGGGGGGGGGAAUCAUCCUGUCUCAUGCUGGCCUCUACCGGCAGUAAACCAAACCUCCUAUAUUCAUCAGUCGCCACAUUGAGAGAGAGAAGCUCGUAUAUCGUGUGCGUUUGGUGCACACACGUCACAAGACCGUGUAUUCCGUUGUCAGUAGGCUCUGAAAAGUUGCAUUGUGAUGAGAUGUAACUAUCACGUGGUAACAGGCUUGUAGCAAUGGCUCUAAAACCAGAUAAACUUAUAGAAGAAAAUCAAGGUAAUGAAUCCCUAAAUUUGGGUCUCUUUUCACCGAAAAAAGAUCAAUGUGAUUUGUGUUGUGCAUACAAACAAGGGAAUGUUUCUGAGGAAGAAUAUAAUAUUCACAUAACAAGAAAAAACGAGGCAAGAGAAGAAAAAAUUCAAGAUAAGGAACAAAGUGGUGAAGACACUGCUGUCUACACGAUGGAUGAAAGCAGUACUAUUGUGCCCUUACCUAAAAGCUUCUGCACUCUACUACAAAAGAAUACUAAAAUUACACAACUUCACUCUCUACAACCUGAAGACAGGGGAAGCCUACUGCUAUCUGUGGGACGAAACAGAAGAAGGUGUAAACGCUGAUGAGUUUGCUACCACUGUCACUCAUUUUAUUUCAACAGAAAUAAAUUUGGAUGUUAUCAAACACAUUACCAUUUAUAGUGAUGGAUGCACCAACCAAAAUCGAAAUGCUAUAAUGGCAAAAUGCUUUGCUUUUGAAAUCUCAUGAAACCAAAGUAAAAAUAACCCGAAAAUACUUAGAAAAAGGCUACACUCAAAUGGAAUGCGACAGCAUUCAUAGCAAUAUUGAGAAACAAAUGAAGAACAGAGAUAUUUAUUCUCCAGCAGGGUACGUUGAAAUAAUUAAGACCACAAGAUUUAAUCCACAACCGUACAAAGUAUUCCAGUUGGAGAAUUCGUUUUUUAAAAGGUUCAAUGAGGUAAACCUCAUUUCCUCAAUCAGACCUGGCAAUAAAAAGAGCGAUCCUGUUGUUACUGAUCUCAGAUGUAUACAGUACACACCAGAUGGCAAUAUUCAGGUAAAACUUAGGCCCAAAGAUGCAUUUUUUGACCUUCCAAGAAGAAUAAAAAAGGCAUCUACCAGAAUUGAAGAUCUCAAUCAGUUAUACAAUGCACGACUGCCUACCAAAGGGAUCAUGUAUCAACACCUUCAAGAGCUCAAACUAGUGAUUCCCAAAGACAUUCAUUCAUUUUGCCCCACAAUCCUUAACUUUUAAAACAAAAGCCUUUCGGGUGUGGUUGUUUUUGUUUAUUUAAGAAGAACAGAUCUCUACGUAUUUACAUUCUUAUAUAUAUCUGCUAACUAGUUUUUUCUUUCUGUUUUUUAUGAUUAUAAUUUUAUGAUAUUAGACCAAUUGAUGGAACUAUGAUAAAACAUUACUCAUUGUAAUAAUAUGAAUUACAAUAAUAUUAUACAACUAUUAAAAUUUCGACCUUACUAUAAA